GUAUUUUUCUUAUAUAUAUAUUAAAAAAAAUUUUACAAUAGUUAUUGGAAAAUAUGUUAGUAAAAAUCAAAUUUUGAAUAUAUGUAUAUUUUUGAAUGAAUUUUUGAUAUAAAUCAAUUUUAAAUUAUUAUUUUGAUUUGAAUAUAUAUAUAUAUAUAUUAAGUAAUAUAGACCCAUUACUUUUUAAUAUAAUAUAAUGAACUUCCAAUUUUUUAGUAGCAUAAACCCAUUAUUUUUUUUUUCUAACUUCCUGCUAUCCAUGUUUCCAAACAGUACUAUUUUUUAAACUACUAUCCAUAUUGCCAAACAAUCUCAAUGUGUACUUCAACUUUAAUAAUAUAGAUGAAUUCAGUGAUUAGUUAUAUAAUUGCAAAUUUUGCCGCUUCAAAAGUAAUGCUUAAGUGCUCAAAAUAAAUAAUACUAUAAAGUUGAUCAAUAUAUAUGUAAAAUUUAUGUUUGAAUGGUAGAAAAUAGAUCUAGUAGACUGCCAAAUAAACAACCAUAAAGUAACCGGAAAGAUGGACACUAAAACAUAGCAUGGAAUCUAAAACCCAAAUCAUGCUUGCUUUCUCGUCGACGUAUGUCUUGCUGCACAAUACAAGAGUACGCAGCCUUAGCAAACAAAAACUUAAUCGCAAAGAAAGCGCUAGCUAAGUUAGACAUCUCCCAACAGUCAUGUUCCUUGAUCAAAAUAAUAUUUAAUCAUGGAUAUUUUAAAAUAAUGAGAACUUCAUGUUAAAAUAUCUCAAAAAGAUUUUUUAAAUACUCAUGAAAAACGUUUUUCACAAAUGUCUUAUAAUUUAUAAGUGAUUUGAUUUUUAGAAAAUAUUUAAAUUUGAGUAAUUAAUUUAACUUCAUUAAAAUACUAAUAUAAAUUAAGUUAGAACCUCAAUUGCCAUUAAUACCACUUUCCUAAUACCACUUUUCAACUUUACACUUUUCAAUUUUACCAUUAAAAUUUUAAUUAGCAAAGUACCUUUAUACCCCUAACUAAUUAAGCCUAACUAACUCUUCUCUCUUACAUCUCACGAUAAUUAAAUCUCAUCAUCUCACAAAUCGGCAACGGAUUCCGGCGGUGACGAGUUCUCCGGCGAGAUUGGACGACUCUGCAGAGUUGUCCGGCGAGAUCCGACGAAGCUACGGCGAGAUUCGACGAAGCUACGAAGAGAUCCGACGAAGCUACGACGAGAUCAUACGAAGCUGCGGCGAGAUCCGAUGAAGCUACGGCGAUCUCUCUCACGACGCUAAGAAACGCUGACAAAGGUUAUGAUGAUUGAACCAACGACGCUCCAGUGACCAUAUCCAAUUGCUCCGACCAAAUCUCGCUCCGGUGAACACCAACAAGCUCCGGUGAACACGAUCGACAAACUUAAAGAUAGUUUGUAUUUUGAAGAUCGACGAGGUUGGUGAGCUGUUUGAAGAAGUAAGAGGGACUCAGAAGAAGAACAUGGUUUGUGAGAUCAAAGAAUUGCAGAUUUAUAAAGCUUUAUAAAAGUUGCAGAGUUGGCUUCUUAACACCAUCUUCUCUCUCAUCUUCUUCAGACAUCUCUUAUACUAAAACAAUCGUAUAUCUCUCCUAAGACUUGCAAAGUUGAAGAGGUUAGUUGGACAUCUAAGUGAAUUUGGCUGCAAUUGUUUUUUUUUUUACAAAAGAGAAAAGUGUGAUGUGGAGAAACCUUGAUGUU